rnacentral:rRNA from 1 species
AGAACGAACGCUUGCGACGUGCCUAAGAAAUGCAAGUCGAACGGGGGAGCAAUCCCUAGUGGCGAACGGUCGCGUAACACGUGGGCAACCUGCCCUGAAGCGGGGGACAACAGCUUGAAAGAGCUGCUAAUACCGCAUGUGGAUCGCUCUGGCAUCAGAGAUUAUCCAAAGCCUUCGGGCACUUCAGGAUGGGCCCGCGGCCUAUCAGCUAGUUGGUGAGGUAACGGCCCACCAAGGCUUCGACGGGUAGCUGGUCUGAGAGGACGGCCAGCCGGAUUGGGACUGAGAUACGGCCCAGACUCCUACGGGGGCAGCAAUUAGGAAUCUUGCACAAUGGGCGAAAGCCUGAUGCAGCGACGUCGCGUGGAGGAUGAAAUCUUUCGGGAUGUAAACUCCUUUUAUCGGGGAAGAAGAAUGUGACGGUACCCGAUGAAUAAGUCCCGGCUAACUACGCGCCAGCAGCCGCGGUAA